UACGUAGGGUGCAAGCGUUGUCCGGAAUUAUUGGGCGUAAAGAGCUCGUAGGCGGUUUGUCGCGUCUGCUGUGAAAACUCGGGGCUUAACCCCGGGCCUGCAGUGGGUACGGGCAGACUAGAGUGCGGUAGGGGAGACUGGAAUUCCUGGUGUAGCGGUGAAAUGCGCAGAUAUCAGGAGGAACACCAAUAGCGAAGGCAGCUCGCUGGGACGGUAUUGACGCUAAGGCGCGAAAGCGUGGGGAGCAAACAGG
rnacentral:rRNA from 1 species